AUUAAAUUUGAUUUGGUCCUUGCUUGACUCUUCAGCUCAAACUUCAAGAUGGGUGGGUGAAUAUUGAAUAUCUAGCUCAUAGGUAGUGUUUGAUACGUUCCUCGAUAAGUUCGAGAUAAGUCAUGUUUUUUUUGUCUCUAAGGAUUUGUUUCAGUUAUAGUAUUGAAUAUCUAGCUCAUGGGUAGUGUUCGAGGAUAUACAGUUUGUUUUGUUGUUUUUGAGGUGAAAGGUGCCGCGAAGCAGAGAUAUCCUAUUUAUAUGUGCUUUUCAUUGGUGGGGUUUAGAUUGAUGAGUGAGACAUGUGGGGAACGGUUUCUGUGAGUUGGAUUUAGGUUGCAUACCAUUUAGAAAACAAAGGGGCAGAAAAGUUGGAAUUGGAGGUUCAGAUAAGAUAAUCUACUUGAUGGUCUCAUAUCUAACAAUUACGUCUAUUUUGACAGUGAUUUGAGGCUAUUUGGUGCAGCCAUAAACAGCUUUAUGUUCUUGACAAAUUCCACCUCCAAAAAUUUGGUAGCCUGUGCCAGGGUCUUCUGCUUCUUUGCAGUGUGUUGGUUGAAUCUUUUAUAGGAAAACAAUAAAAUUUUGAAGGUGGGAACUGUGCUUGUUUGUGUGUAAAAGGAAGCUUGAGUAGAACCUACUAAUAGCAUGAUGAGUGUUAAGGCUUUGGCCGUGGCAUGAGAAUUCUCAACUAUCCUAUGGGUAUAAACAAGACUAUUGUUUGGUUUAGGAGAGACCUUAGAAUUGAAGACAAUCCUGCAUUAGCCGCUGCUGCCAAGGAUGGUUCUGUUUUCCCUGUCUAUAUUUGGUGCCCCAAAGAGGAAGGACAGUUUCAUCCGGGAAGGGUGUCAAGGUGGUGGCUGAAGCAUUCUCUUGCUCAGUUGGAUAAGUCACUGAAAUCACUUGGAGCUGAACUUGUGCUCAUCAAAACUAACAGUACUCUCGAGGCGCUUUUGGAAUGUAUAAAUGCAAUCCAAGCAAAAAAAGUAGUGUUUAACCAUCUGUAUGAUCCAGUUUCACUUGUUCGUGAUCACGACAUCAAAGUAAAACUAGUGGAACUUGGUGUAUCUGUUCAAAGCUACAAUGGGGAUCUGUUGUUUGAGCCAUGGGAUAUAUAUGAUGAGAGCGGACAUGCUUUUACAACAUUUGAUCCGUUUUGGAACAGAUGCCUGCAUAUUCAAAUGAAACAUUUUUCACCUAUUCCUCCAUGUCAAUUAAUUCUAGCUGAGGGAAAAGUUGUGAAAUAUUCAAUUGAACAAUUAGGCCUUGAAGAUGAAUCAGAAAAGGCGAGCAAUGCAUUAUUAGGAAGGGCAUGGUGUCCAGGUUGGAACAAAAGCGAUAAGGCUUUAACAGAAUUUGUUGAACACCACCUACUUCACUACUCCAAGAAUAGGCUAACAGUUGGUGGUGACUCCACCUCACUCUUGUCUCCAUAUAUUCAUUUUGGAGAAUUGAGUGUGAGGAAGGUUUUUCAGUUGGCACGUUCAAAGCAGAUAUUAUGGGCAAAUGAAGGAAACAGUGGUGGUGAAGAGAGUGCAACACUUUUUCUGAGGGCCAUUGGACUUAGAGAGUACUCACGCUAUCUUUGUUUCAAUUUCCCAUUCACCUUAGAGAGGCCACUGCUUGGGAACUUGAGAUAUUUUCCAUGGAAUGAUGAUGCUACCAACUUCAAGGCUUGGAGACUGGGUAGGACUGGGUAUCCUUUGGUUGAUGCAGGAAUGAGAGAACUAUGGGCAACAGGAUGGAUACACAACAAAAUAAGAGUCAUAGUUUCUAGUUUUGCUGUUAAAAUGUUGCUUAUACCAUGGAAAUGGGGAAUGAAAUAUUUCUGGGACACACUUUUGGAUGCAGAUCUUGAAAGUGACAUCUUGGGUUGGCAGUAUAUCUCAGGAUGCUUACCUGAUGGCCACAAGCUUGAGCGCUUGGACGAUCCUCAGAUUCAAGGGGUCAAAUUUGAUCCAGAAGGUGAGUAUGUACGUCAAUGGAUACCUGAGUUGGCAAGAAUGCCAGCUGAGUGGAUUCAUCAUCCUUGGGAUGCACCACUGGCCGUGCUAAGAGCAUCAGGAGUAGAGCUGGGUCAGAACUAUCCCAAACCAGUCGUUGAAAUUGAUUCAGCAAGAGAACAACUGACUGAAGCCAUAUUCAAGAUGUGGGAAUAUGAGGUAACUGCAAAAGCAUCUUGCUCAGAAGUGAGACAUGAAGUUGUUGAUGAAAGUGAAAGUUUGGCCGUUCCAAAAGUUUUCUUGAAGGACAAAGCUCCUCGUGCCACUUCUUCAUCCACUGAUCAGAAGGUUCCAACACUUCAGAAUCCACAGAGUGAUCCUCCUAACAGGAAGAGAUUAAAAUGUAUGGCAGAAGUGGAGCAGAAGCAGGACAAUUCACGGCAUCUUAGCAUGGAUACUGGAGUGUCAAGCAUUGAUCAAGAUGGGUCCUCCACGGCUGAAUCUUCUUGCAAGAUCCAGAGUUCAAGCACUUAUUCAUUUUCUGUCCCAUAACAGUGUUCCUCAUCUAAUAUAAAGCGGUCAUGGCAAGAUCAGAUUGACAUGGAGCAUAGUUCAAGCAAAGAUGUAUUAUAAUACUUUUAAAAGUGAGUAUAGAGGAUUAUUAGAAGGAUUCAGAUGCAAGAGGUCUCACUCAAGCAAGACAAAUCUCGCUCAAGUAAGAUUGAGUAGCUAGAAAUACUAUUUUUUAGGGCAAUCUCGCUCAAACAAGAUAGGAUAAAUUCAGCUCAAUUGUCACCUUGCCUAAGCGAAAGUGAUCUCGCUCAGGUGAGGACUCACAGGAAAACAUCUUGCUCUCUGGACGUCAUCUCGCCCAGGCGAGAUGGAGCUCGCUUAAGCGAGCAUAUCAAGAAAUGUUGGGCGAGACCACUGUUUGCAUAUCUUGCUCAGGUGAGAUAUUCGUCACUCAAGCAAGAGCAUGCGAGGCUGAUGGAGACAAGCCUUAAAAACUUCAAAACUACUCAGAAUCAGAGCUCGAACUUUGACUAAACGGAAACAUUGAACGACCUUGGUGCGUGAACCAUCUUUUUCACCCUUUUCUACACUAAACUCGUCUUUGAGGAAAUCGAGACGUCUAGUACCAGGCUCACAAUGCAUGGAUGGAUGAGAACUGCUAUAGGACCUAGUUAUUUUGAGUUAUGUAAUAGAUAUUUUCAGUUCUAUAACAUUCUUUUGAAACAGUUGUAAAAGUACUAUUUCUUUUGUUGCUGAUGAAAAUUUUAUAAUCUUUGUUUUUCUAAAGUACUUACGAAUUAAUGAAAUUUUACUCUAUGAACCUU